rnacentral:tRNA from 1 species
CAUUAAGAAGCUAUGCAUCAGCACUAGCCUUUUAAGCUAGAGAAAGUGGGAUACCCCUCCUUAAUGA